AGCAUAUCAAUAAGCGGAGGAAAAGAAACUAACAAGGAUUCCCCUAGUAACUGCGAGUGAAGCGGGAAGAGCUCAAAUUUGAAAUCUGGCGGUUCUUUGACUGUCCGAGUUGUAAUCUAGAGAAGUGCUACCUGUGCUGGACCAUGUACAAGUCUCCUGGAAUGGAGCAUCAUAGAGGGUGAGAAUCCCGUCUUUGACAUGGACUACCUGUACAUUAUGGUGUGCUCUCGAAGAGUCGAGUUGUUUGGGAAUGCAGCUCAAAAUGGGUGGUAAAUGCCAUCUAAAGCUAAAUAUUGGCGAGAGACCGAUAGCGAACAAGUACCGUGAGGGAAAGAUGAAAAGAACUUUGGAAAGAGAGUUAAACAGUACGUGAAAUUGCUGAAAGGGAAACGCUUGAAGUCAGUCUCGUUGGCUAGAAAUCAGCCUUGCUUUUGCUUGGUGUACUUUCUGGUUGAUGGGUCAGCAUCAAUUUUGACCAUUGGAUAAAGUCUUUGGGAAUGUGGCAUCUUUGGAUGUGUUAUAGCCCAUUGUCACAUACAAUGGUUGGGAUUGAGGAACUCAGCACGCCGCAAGGCCGGGUUUCGACCACGUUCGUGCUUAGGAUGCUGGCAUAAUGGCUUUAAUCGACCCGUCUUGAAACACGGACCAAGGAGUCUAACAUGCCUGCGAGUGUUUGGGUGGAAAACCCAUGCGCGUAAUGAAAGUGAAAGUUGAGAUCCCUGUAAUAAGGGGAGCAUUGACGCCCGGACCAGACCUUUUGUGACGGAUCCGCGGUAGAGCAUGUAUGUUGGGACCCGAAAGAUGGUGAACUAUGCCUGAAUAGGGUGAAGCCAGAGGAAACUCUGGUGGAGGCUCGUAGCGAUUCUGACGUGCAAAUCGAUCGUCAAAUUUGGGUAUAGGGGCGAAAGACUAAUCGAACCAUCUAGUAGCUGGUUCC
rnacentral:rRNA from 1 species